GAAUUUGUUUAUAUUUUGAAUGUAUUGUGCAACGAAAUCAAUAAUAAUUGAUAUUAAAUAUUUUUUUACAGACAAUGGUACAGUGUUGGGCACCCCACUGCAAGCAUUAUAAUGUUCGAAAAACAUGUAAAUUUUUUUAGCUUUCCCAAGGAUUCAAAAAUUGGAAACCGCUGGAUUAAGUUAACAAGACGAACUAUACAACCAGGCCCUGGUGCAUUUUUGUGCAGUUGCCACUUUGUUGAUGGAAAC